rnacentral:lncRNA from 1 species
UAAUAGUUUUUGUAAAAUAAUUUAGGAAAUACUUUGAUUGUGUGAAAAUCUUUAUUUUGUAGAUUUUAAAAUUAAGGGUUAAGCGUAUAUUAAAUAUUUCUGUAAACUGAGUUUCAACUAUGAUUGAAAGUUUUUUUAACAGAAAAUUUUGAAAUUUGAUAAUCUGUUCUGUAAGUUAGUGACUGGAUAAUUUUAAAUUAUAAUGUCUUUUGGUAUUCUGCUAUGCUGAUGUUGGCCAUGUCGACAUGUAUUUUGUUAUAGAAGCGAGCUUCGUCUUUGUAUUGUGCCUUCGGGUGCCUGCGCCUAUCCGUACCUCUGUUUUGUUUGUGCCUUUGGGUGCCUUUGUUUUGUACAUGCACCUUCGGUGCCUCUGUUCUGUUUGCACCUUCGGGUGCCUCUAUUCUGUUUGCGCCUUCAGGUGCCUUUGGAUCUCGCCAACGGAUCAUAUGAUAUAGUUAGUUGCCGGAGACUUAAUAUUUAUUUUGUUUAUUUGCUGAAAGAGAAAUGCUUUGUAAAUUUAUAGUUUCGAUCCGAUCUGAAUUUUAAGUUUUGAUAAAUUCUUAUUUUCUGAAAUUUUGCAAAUUAAAAACCAGUCGCCUGAAUUAAUUUUUUUGUAUUCAAUUAUUUAUUUGUAUUGUAUGCUUAAUCCGACUAAUGUGGUGUAUGAUUGCUUACCCAGAUACCGAGACUGAUUUGCCGGGCGGGGCUGAGACCGAGUG